AGGAGAGUUUGAUCCUGGCUCAGGAUGAACGCUGGCGGCGUGCUUAACACAUGCAAGUCGAACGAAGCAAUUUGAUCAGAUCUCUUCGGAGUGACGGACUUAUUGACUGAGUGGCGGACGGGUGAGUAACGCGUGGGUAACCUGCCUUGCACAGGGGGAUAACAGUUAGAAAUGACUGCUAAUACCGCAUAACCCGCUAGUACCGCAUGGUACGGACGGAAAAGAUUUAUCGGUGUAAGAUGGACCCGCGUCUGAUUAGCUAGUUGGUGAGGUAACGGCUCACCAAGGCAACGAUCAGUAGCCGGCUUGAGAGAGUGAUCGGCCACAUUGGGACUGAGACACGGCCCAAACUCCUACGGGAGGCAGCAGUGGGGAAUAUUGCACAAUGGGGGAAACCCUGAUGCAGCGACGCCGCGUGAGUGAAGAAGUAUUUCGGUAUGUAAAGCUCUAUCAGCAGGGAAGAAAAUGACGGUACCUGACUAAGAAGCCCCGGCUAACUACGUGCCAGCAGCCGCGGUAAUACGUAGGGGGCAAGCGUUAUCCGGAUUUACUGGGUGUAAAGGGAGCGCAGACGGAUUUGCAAGUCUGAAGUGAAACCCCACGGCUCAACCGUGGGCUUGCUUUGGAAACUGUAGGUCUAGAGUACCGGAGAGGUAAGCGGAAUUCCUAGUGUAGCGGUGAAAUGCGUAGAUAUUAGGAGGAACAUCGGUGGCGAAGGCGGCUUACUGGACAGCAACUGACGUUGAGGCUCGAAGGCGUGGGGAGCAAACAGGAUUAGAUACCCUGGUAGUCCCCU
rnacentral:rRNA from 1 species